rnacentral:rRNA from 1 species
AUUGAACGCUGGCGGCAGGCCUAACACAUGCAAGUCGAACGAUUGGCGGACGGGUGAGUAAUGUCUGGGAAACUGCCUGAUGGAGGGGGAUAACUACUGGAAACGGUAGCUAAUACCGCAUACCAUCGGAUUUGCCCAGAUGGGAUUAGCUAGUAUGUGUGGGAAAGGCUUACCUAGGCGACGAUCCCUAGCUGGACUGAGAGGAUGACCAGCCACACUGGAACUGAGACACGGGCCAGACUCCUCCGGGAGGCAGCAGUGGGGAAGAUGGCACAAUGGGCGCAAGCCUGAUGCAUCCAUGCCGCGUGUAUGAAGAAGGCCUUCGGGUUGUAAAGUACUUUCAGCGGGGAGGCGUGACCCUCAGAAGAAGCACAGGCUAACUCCGUGCCAGCCGCCGCGGUAAUUC